rnacentral:hammerhead_ribozyme from 1 species
AUCCAGCCGACGAGUCCCAAAUAGGACGAAACGCACUUUGUCGUGGAU